GUGGGGAAUUUUGGAUAAUGGGCGCAAGCCUGAUCCAGCAAUGCCGCGUGCAGGAAGAAGGCCUUCGGGUUGUAAACUGCUUUUGUACGGAACGAAACGGUCCUGGUUAAUACCUGGGGCUAAUGACGGUACCGUAAGAAUAAGCACCGGCUAACUACGUGCCAGCAGCCGCGGUAAUACGUAGGGUGCGAGCGUUAAUCGGAAUUACUGGGCGUAAAGCGUGCGCAGGCGGUGCUGUAAGACAGGCGUGAAAUCCCCGGGCUCAACCUGGGAAUUGCGCUUGGGACUGCAGUGCUGGAGUACGGCAGAGGGGGAUGGAAUUCCGCGUGUAGCAGUGAAAUGCGUAGAUAUGCGGAGGAACACCGAUGGCGAAGGCAGUCCCCUGGGCCUGUACUGACGCUCAUGCACGAAAGCGUGGGGAGCAAACAGGAUUAGAAACCCUGGUAGUCC
rnacentral:rRNA from 1 species